GUAACUUCCUAGAGCUGGGAAUGCUUGCAGCUGAUGGGAAGCUAACCACUAAAGUGCAUUUUUGCACUUACAGCCCUGAGAUGUAGAUGCUUCCUAAGGAGCAACAAAAAGAGUGGUCUGUGCCAAUGCCUGAUGCAAAACAAAAACGGGGCGAGAGAGACUUCUGGUCUGUCGCACAGCAUGACAAAACUUCGUAUUGACUCCUCAGCUGGAAAAGAAAGCCCAUCUAAAGGAAGAGGGAGUGAAAAUCAGAAACAUUUUGUCAGACAGCUGAAGAGUUUUCUACUUGCUGGAGAAAAAUUCCUUCUAAAGCAUGCUACCUAUUUGGGUUUUGCCUGCAAUGAGACCACUACAGAUGCAAAGUGAGGUACACUAUCUACCAAGACUGCCCGCAGGACCCUGAGCAGACGUGAGGUGUGAGGCACCCAACGCACAGCACUGCCGCCCACAACAAAACCGCUCAUGCCAGCUUACCCGGAGAAGAGACACAGCACCCUCCUGCAGCGGGCAAGCACGCAGCCUCUUGUCCCAAAGCCAAUCUGCCUCUGCUCUUUCCUGGUUUGGUGUCAGCUUUGCAAUAAUGUUACCAAGGAGCAAACAGGCUCCGAACCCGGGUGAAAAUAUCCUGGUAUACGAGCAAGCUCAAUCGUAAUUUAAAGAGAAACAGUAUUUGCUUAUAUACUAAGCAGCCAUUAAACAAAUAAAAACAGUAA